rnacentral:lncRNA from 1 species
GUGGACUGCAUAAACAGUGACAUUUUCCUUACUUGUUUUACUACAAUAAGGGAAGUACAGUUUGCUCCUCGGUAAGCAGCUCAGAAGAUGAGGUAAUCUAAUCUUAGUAUUUAUUGACAAGAUCGUCUGUGGAAAUGUAGAGAGAGAGUGCGAAGUGACCACCAUAUUUCUUACAUAGGCCGGCAGUGACUGUAGUUGAAAUAGCCCUGGUAGUCUUCUGAUUCUUGCCUGUUGCUUAAUAAGACUGAAGGGUAAGACUGAAGGUUGUGAUUUAACUUGUGACCGAGUCUGUUCUGAAAGUCAGUGGAAACAAGAUUGUUCCUGAAUUUGUGUUGUACACGCCUUGGAAUUUACUUUCUUUGCUGUUUCUGGGUCUGAUAGGUGGCUCUUAAAACAGCACUAUUUUGGCCUGGUAGGAAGCCCAGGG